rnacentral:lncRNA from 1 species
GGGCGGUGGGGGCGGGAUCGGCUUCACCUGGAUCGAUUGGUGAUGGCUGUGCCCGGCACGCUGCUCAGUGCCGUGGUUGAUUAGCGAUGUCUGCCGCGGCCCCGGAGGGGCCGUCUAAGGCUGACCGUUUACCUACCGUCUGGGGUGUAUGCUGCGUCCAGCAAAGACUCAGAGGGGUGGCCAGGAGCUGCUUCUCUACUGGUGCACGUUCACCCGGGGCAGCAGCCCCCGGUUCCCAUUCUAAUUCAUGCUAAAGAGUGACUGACUGACACUAACUGACCACUGUGCCUGGGGGUGGAGGAGUUGCAAUGUCCUGGAACAAGGCCUUCCUCUAGGAGGAGGGGUCUCUUAAGCUCAGCGAGCAGGGGGCAGGCAGCGGUUGCCGUGGGCUCGGACCCACGCAGGGGGCCCACCCAUGCCCCCACCCCACUCCCGCUCCCGUGGACAGGCAGGCCGCGGUGGGGAGCACUGGACGGGGAGAAGCGUGGCUGGAUGGGGCUCAUCACUCUGCUGUCUGGCACCCUCUGAGGCCGGAGGCGGCUGGAGUGUCUGCCCAGCACCAGCCGGGACUGUCCACCUCUCAGGUCCCUUCCCCUCCUCUGGCCCUGGGGCCAGCCUGCCGGAAUCCCUACCAUGCCUCCCUAGGACAGACCACAUGGCCCAGCCAUCCCUCAGGACGGGGCCCCUCCCCGACCAUCAGGCUUGGCCCCUUGCUGAGCCCUCAGGGACACUGCAGCCCCCACCCCCUUCCUGGGAGUCCAAAGCCUGGUGGCACAGCUGGGGUGCUCUGCGUCCUCUGCUGCUGCAAGUGGGACCAGCCAGGCAGGGGCAUCCAGGAGGGCUUCCUGGAAGAGGAAGCUCCGGGCCCUUCCCUCCCCGUCCUCACCUGGCCCACCUGGCUCCCCCCCCCCCCACUCCUGGCUGGGCCUCUCCUUGA